GCUUGGGUGGCUCAGUGGUUGAGCGUCUGACUUUGGCUCAGAGCAUGAUCCCAGGCC
rnacentral:tRNA from 1 species